rnacentral:rRNA from 1 species
AGUGAACGCUGGCGGUAGGCCUAACACAUGCAAGUCGAACGGCAGCACAGUAAGAGCUUGCUCUUACGGGUGGCGAGUGGCGGACGGGUGAGGAAUACAUCGGAAUCUACUUUUUCGUGGGGGAUAACGUAGGGAAACUUACGCUAAUACCGCAUACGACCUACGGGUGAAAGCAGGGGAUCUUCGGACCUUGCGCGAUUGAAUGAGCCGAUGUCGGAUUAGCUAGUUGGCGGGGUAAAGGCCCACCAAGGCGACGAUCCGUAGCUGGUCUGAGAGGAUGAUCAGCCACACUGGAACUGAGCCACGGUCCAGACUCCUACGGGAGGCAGCAGUGUGGAAUAUUGGACAGUGGGCGCAAGCCUUAUCCAGCCAUCCCGCGUGGGUGAAGAAGGCCUUCGGGUUGUAAAGCCCUUUUGUUGGGAAAGAAAAGCAGCAGGUUAAGACCCCGCUGUUCUGACGGUACCCAAAGAAUAAGCACCGGCUAACUUCGUG